rnacentral:RNase_P_RNA from 1 species
GCAGUCGGGACAGACGACCGCUGCCGUGCGCGUGCUCGAUCAGCAAUGAUCAAGGACCGCGCUCGGGAGAGGAAAGUCCGAACUCCGCAGGGCAGUGCGCCGGUCAAUCACCGGUCAGGGCAACCUGAAGGACAGUGGCACAGAAAAUAUACCGCCCUUCGACUCGGCGCUUCGCGCCUCGCUCAGGGCAGGCCCGUCGACAGCAACUGAGCCCGGCUCAGGCAGGCUCUCACGAGUUUGCCUCGAGCGAGGCGCGCGGCGCCGAGUCGAGAGGUAAGGGUGAAAAGGUGCGGUAAGAGCGCACCGCAUCUGCCGUAAGGGAGAUGGCAGGCAAAACCCCGCACGGAGCAAGACCAAAUAGGGGGGCGACGGCGCGAUGCGCCGGACGGACGGCCCGUCCGAGGCUCCCGGGUAGGUCGCUUGAUCUCGCCAGCGAUGGCGAGGCUAGAGGAAUGGUCGUCACCCCGAGGCGAGCCCUCUGCGCGUGCUUCGCACGCGCGUGGGGCGAGUCGAGGGGCACAGAAUUCGGCUUACGACCCGGCUGCGGCA